rnacentral:lncRNA from 1 species
AAAACAUGGCUGCAGUUAUCAGAGCAUCCUUCUGUGACACUGUCUUCCCUUCCUGUUCAUAUCCGAUGGUCAUC